rnacentral:rRNA from 1 species
GAUGAACGCUAGCGGCAGGCUUAACACAUGCAAGUCGAGGGGUAUUGGUUUUCGGACCAAGAGACCGGCGCACGGGUGCGUAACGCGUAUGCAAUCUACCUUUUGCAGAGGGAUAGCCCAGAGAAAUUUGGAUUAAUACCUCAUAGUAUAGUACUUUGGCAUCAAGGAACUAUUAAAGUCACAACGGCAAAAGAUGAGCAUGCGUCCCAUUAGCUAGUUGGUAAGGUAACGGCUUACCAAGGCUACGAUGGGUAGGGGUCCUGAGAGGGAGAUCCCCCACACUGGUACUGAGACACGGACCAGACUCCUACGGGAGGCAGCAGUGAGGAAUAUUGGACAAUGGGCGCAAAGCCCUGAUCCAGCCAUGCCGCGUGCAGGAUGACGGUCCUAUGGAUUGUAAAACUGCUUUUUANACAGGGAAGAAACACUCCGACGUGUCGGAGCUUGACGGUACUGUAAGAAUAAGCCACGGCU